UACGUAGGGUGCGAGCGUUAAUCGGAAUUACUGGGCGUAAAGCGUGCGCAGGCGGUGAUGUAAGACAGAUGUGAAAUCCCCGGGCUCAACCUGGGAACUGCAUUUGUGACUGCAUCGCUGGAGUGCGGCAGAGGGGGGAUGGAAUUCCGCGUGUAGCAGUGAAAUGCGUAGAUAUGCGGAGGAACACCGAUGGCGAAGGCAAUCCCCUGGGCCUGCACUGACGCUCAUGCACGAAAGCGUGGGGAGCAAACAGG
rnacentral:rRNA from 1 species